rnacentral:sRNA from 1 species
AUGACUGGAACCCUGGAGAGAGAGAACCGGAUUUCUGGAGGAAAAUUAUUCGUUUUAAGGAAGCAGCAUCCUGGACCCUUGAGGCCCUGGAGGAAGCGGGCAGCACAGCUCGGAGGCGGGUGUGGCUGGAGGACGGCCGUGGCACCUGCGAAAUUCUCUCUGUGGUACGUGGCUGCUUCCUGGCUCUGGGAACCACCUGAACACUUGCAUUCUUCCCUUUUCCUUUCUAUUCUCUUUCAAGCCACCCUCCUUGAGCCAGCCCACCAGUCCAGGCCAAAUCUCAGCCUGCCCUUGGUCCGCUGUGGCUGGGCCUGCACCCGAGCCAUGAGCACACGCAGCGACUGUGGCAGCUGAAGCUCCUCCGGGCUCAGACUCAGGCUGAUGCUGCGUCAGGACCUGCCGUGGCCUCGGCUGGGCUUCCUGGGACUCGGUGGUUGUGGGCUGAUUGUAAAGCCUGGAAUGACUCUUAGAAACUGGGCGUCAUUCUUUGUGGUUUUCCAAGCUUGGUCUCUGAUGAUGCUCCAGGUCUUAGGAGACAUGCUGAAUAUUUAUUAUGCUUACAUUCAAGCAACAGUAACCCUUAAAGUUGAUGUAGCUCCCCGUCUUUUUUUCUCAGAAGGAGGAGAACUGACGGAACAUUUUUCCAGUAUGGAUUCUUUCCAGCUCUGAGAAGCUGGAGGCACAUGGAUCCCUCGGCCAGCUCCCAUCUAUGGACGUGCUGUAGUCACAAGGACUGUGACAAAGGCUCAGUCCCUGAGGAGUGCCUUGGCAUGGGCUGCUUUAGGCUGUAAAUACCCGGUUUUAUCCACUUUAUGUGAAGAAAGCCAACAAGGGGCAUGGAGUGUGUUCCGCAGGUUU